rnacentral:rRNA from 1 species
UUCGAUGCAACGCGAAAAACCUUACCCACCUUUGACAUGUACGGAAUCCUUUAGAGAUAGAGGAGUGCUCGAAAGAGAGCCGUAACACAGGUGCUGCAUGGCUGUCGUCAGCUCGUGUCGUGAGAUGUUGGGUUAAGUCCCGCAACGAGCGCAACCCUUGCCAUUAGUUGCUACGAAAGGGCACUCUAAUGGGACUGCCGGUGACAAACCGGAGGAAGGUGGGGAUGACGUCAAGUCCUCAUGGCCCUUAUAGGUGGGGCUACACACGUCAUACAAUGGCUGGUACAGAGGGUUGCCAACCCGCGAGGGGGAGCUAAUCCCAUAAAGCCAGUCGUAGUCCGGAUCGCAGUCUGCAACUCGACUGCGUGAAGUCGGAAUCGCUAGUAAUCGCGGAUCAGAAUGUCGCGGUGAAUACGUUCCCGGGUCUUGUACUAC